rnacentral:lncRNA from 1 species
UAAGAGCUGCUCCAUUUCCUCUAGGAUUAUUGUGAAGUCACUGGCUUCGUCCUUACAUAAGGUUUGCUGUUCCAGGAACUGGACACUCUCCUCUUCUUUCAGCUUCAACUUCACCUUCAAGGCCUGAAAGGGAAAUCAUCCCAGAGGGAAACCCAUAAUAAAACUCUUAUAAGAAAGACAGCACCUGGACCAGACCACUAGACCCGUGCUACAUAGAGGGGGAUGACCCCAGUACCAGACAGCAUCUUACUUCCCACCUUAAAAUUUAUCUGUGCUGGCUCGGGGAAUUUCCCCACUCUGUAUUUAAACUGGAACAAUGAAACCGGCUGUGUCUCCUGCCCCACCGUUUGUCUGACAAUCUAAAGGAGUCCAAGAAUCUCACCAUGUAGAUCAGGCUUCAACUUACGCAGACCCCUGCCUCUGUGAUAGAAGGGAUCAAAUUCAGUGCUUGUGUGGCAAGGACCUUAAUCCACCGACCAGCCAUCUUAAGCCUCUGACCACCCUCCCCCUCCAACCUAAAACAUUAAAAAAAAAAAAAUCUAAUGUGCAUGUGCAGACAUGUGUGCAUGCACGUGAGAUGUGUGGAGGCCAGAGGGUGACUUGGGGAACUGGUGUUUUCCUGCCAUCACUUGGGUUCUGGGAUCAAACUUGUUUGUGAGACUUGCAACAAGGACUUUUACCUACUGAGUCAUCUCAAUAGCUCUCUACUAUUUAAAAAAAACAAAACAAAACAAAACAACCAUUUAUUUACUUACUUGUAGGGAAGGGGAGAAUUUAUACCACUCUGUGGAGGUCAGAGGACAAAGUGAAGGACCCAGUCCAGGUUAUCAGGCUUGGUGGCAAGACCCUUUACCUGCUCCUCCAUCUCAAAUG